UUCCCUCUAUUUCUUUUAAUUAUAUACAUAUGUUACUUUUAUAUGUAUAAAGAACUUAUGAAUUAUAUUUCAAAAUUAUUCUUUAUUAAUAAUUUGAAAGUUUAAUUUAAAUAAAGUUAAAGAAAAAAAGUAAUAAAUAGUUAAAUUAUUAUUUGUAUUAGCUUAUACAAGAUACUAUAGAUAAGUCAGUAAAAAUAAACUACAAACUAGUGAAAAUAUAAUGUUACUCAACCCAACUAGACUUUUUUUUAAAUAUAAACUUAUAAAUUAUAGAGCAAAUAGGAGAUGCACGAUGUAAAAUAAAUUUACACCAUUAUUCAAUGAACGACGUGUAUUCCACUAAAUCAUAUUGAUAUUUUAAAAUAAUUUGGAUAAUUUACUAGAUUGGUGAUUUUUUAUUAAACAUAUAGUGCAUGUCCAUUAAACUCUAACUUAAAUUAUAAGUAAUAAAGUAUAAGUUCAAAGUGUGGAAUUGUAAAAAAAAAAAAACAUUAGUUACAAAUUAUCAUCCCUUAUUCAAAUAUUUUUUUAAGCAAGAUAUAUUGAUGGGAGAACAAAAGUUCUCAAACUCACUUAGAAAAGAACGAGGUAAAAUUCGACAAAAGAAAUAUUACACUCCAAUUGAAACCUAAGAUAAAUAAAACAAAAGAAUUUUGCUAAAUUCGUAGAAGUUACAAUUCGAAUGGGUAAUUUUCCCUAUGAAAGACCAUCUCCAAACUAAGGUAUUAUGUUCCGCACCACAUCCAACAUGUUCCAAACAUCUUCCCUAAAAAUAAUACAAUUCCUAAGAAUCCAUAAGCUCCAACAAGUUGUCAACCAAACACAACCUUUUUUGUCUCUUUUCACUUUUUUAAGCUUGCAAAAUGAACACCCCCUUAAAAAACUCUCCUUGAAACUAUCCGCCUCAAAAUCAACAAAAUCAAUCCAAGCGGCGACCUCCUUCCAAACCAAACGAGAUAUACAAGACAACAAUAAAGAAUGGACAAAAGAUUCGUCAACACGACUACAAAGAGCACAAUAAAGAUUGCUAGAAAGAGAGAAUAAACCUCUAACAACCAAUAAAUCUCUAGUUGGUAACCUGUUGAUGAAACACCUCCAUCCAAAGGCUUUAAUUUUUUGAGGCACUUCCAUCUUCCAUACCAAAGCAAAUGCCUUACAGACUGAACGGUAUUAGCUCUCCACUCGAUUGUAUCUCGGUCACCCAUGGUAGGAGCAGCGUGCCGCAUCAGAUGCCGAAGCCGUAGAAUAUCGCCAGCAACAUCUGGGCAAUCGCGGACAGGGAUGCCGAAGUCUCCCCAAAACCACUCACCGCGAUUCAAACCUCUCAUUCCUCCAACUGAAAUUUCCUGCGGGUUUGAAAUAGAAAACAAAGAAGGGGAAAAAAUCUUUAAGGCAACCAAAUUUAAACCAUACAGAGUGUCAAAAAGAAGUAUAGUGACCGUUUCCAAAAAUGAAACUACAAUUCAUAAUGAAAGCAUCCUCCGGAAAAUUAUUCGCCAAAGAUAAAAUAUUCAUCCACCAAGACGAUUUGGGAUUCCUACUUUUAGGAUUUCCCCCUCCCAGUGCCGGCCUUUAGCAGGAGCAGCAAGGGCUGCAGCGCUGGGCCCCAAAAUUUUGGGGGCCCAUUUUUUUUUUUUAUUAAAACAAUACCUUUUACACCUGUUUUUUAUAAAAUAGGUAUUAAAUAAUUAUUCUUUUGAAAACAUUUUACACCGAAUUUUUAAAGGCAGGUGUAAAAUAAUUUUUAUUUUCACAAUUUAGGUAUAAAUUUUUAUUUUUUUGGGCCUUUUUUAAAAUUUAUAACAGGGCCCCCGGCUUGUUUGGGUCGGCCCUGCCCCCUCCACUCACCACUUGCAAAUUGAUAUCGUCCUAACGAGUCUUCAAAACAUUGCACCACAAAGCUUUCUCUUCUUUUAAUAUCCUCACCUCCAUUUAUGAAGAAGAGACAUAUUAAAAUCUCAUUUUCUUCUAAUCGCGAGACCAACUUUUACAAUGGGAAGGCAAACUUUCUUCAAACUCGCCCAAUGGAUCUUUUUGCAACCCUCUGGACCACCCCAAAGGAAAUUACUUUGGAUACUUGUAAUCUCCUUAACAAUUUUCACCGACGCUUUAUAAAAAGAGAGAGUGAAAAUGCCAAGACUACUCAAAAUUGAUUUAAGGAGUGUAAUCCUCAUACCUAAACUAAGGACACGCCCCUUCCAACUCGAUAACCUCUUCUUCAUCUUGGAUAUAAGUCCCUUCCAUGAAGAAAUCCUCCUAGGACUGGACACAAUAGGAAUUCCAAGAAAAAUAAACUCAUUAUCUUCCAACCUACAAGAAAGGAAAAAGGAAGCAACCUCCAAAAAGUUAGAAUUAAUGUUGAUGCCAAUCAACUUGCUUUUGUGGUGAUUAAUGCCUAAACUCGAGACAAACUCAAAACCCCUCAAGAUCGAUUUAAUUAACCGAAUAUAAUUCUAAUUACCAUCUCCCACCAAAAAAUUUUCAUCUGAGAAUUGAAGAACGUCGAUGAAAUAUUUAUCAUUAAUGUCAUAACUCGCGAAAUCUCUAUUCUCCACGGCCUUGCUAACUAACCCCUUUAAGCCUUCCACCACUAAUACGUUAUUCUUAUUAUGAUUUUAAAAAUUCUUUAGUAUUCGAUCAAGAUUAAUGACUAUAAAUGUUUUUUUUAUAAAACUAUAAAUGUUUUUUGUGUUUAGAAUAAUAAUGAAGAUUUAUUUUUUAAUUGGUGUCAUUUUUUAUAUGUUAUAUUCAACCAAUUGAUAAAGUUCAAGUGAGUGAUAAACUUCAUUAUGGGUGAAUUAUUUAAGAGUAUCCGAGUUUUAAUCCAAAUUGAAAGUUUCUUUGAAAAAAUUUAACUUAUUGUCAUGAAAUUGAGAUGUUGAGUCACAUCAAGAUUUUUUCUUUCUAAAAUUCUCGAUAAUAUAUCAACCACACCAAAAAUAAUAAUGUGUAGAAAAAAACAAUGUCAGUCGAAAUUAAUAGGCUAAACAAAAAAUAACAUGUCAAACAUUAUAAGCAAAUCCAUAAUAAGUAAAAGAGAGAUUAAAGUUGAGGCAAAAAAAGAUUUUUUUUAUCUAAUUUGAUCAAACUGAUCUACUCUAGGGAGAGAUAAGCUCUCUGACUCAAUAUACUUCUAAAAUUUGUUAAAAAUAUUAGGAAUGAAUUAUAAGAAAAUAGUCUCUCAAGUUCUCAAAAUCAAAUCAUAUAUUUUAUAUCUAAGUGUUUCUCAAUCUCUUCUAGUCUCUAUAUUGAAUCACAUAAAUUCAAGAUGAUUAAAAGUGGUUUAAAACCCCCUUAGAUACCUUAAAAUGUUUCUCCAAUUUAUAGAACUGCAAUGAUUUUCUACCCUUGCCUCUCUAGCUAGAAUGAUCACAUCUCUCAUUUGUCUUUUUCUCUUAACAAACAAAAGUGGUAAAAAUACAUAUUUAUAACUGUUGAAACCUAAAAUACGUAUUGAACCAUGCAAAUAUGCCAGUAUAGAACAUGAUGAUAAUCAACUCACACAUCACCAACUAACUUGAAAAUCUAUUAGAAAGUUGUUAGUUAGUUGUUAGAAUUAGUUACACACUAAAAGUUCCAAUAUGGUGUGAUAGGAUCUAGCUUUCUUAUGGUGCAAUUCACCGUGAUUGUAUAUAAGAACCUCGCUUGUAAUUCUUCUUCAAUGAGAAUCCGCCAUUAUCAUGUUCAUUUUGAUUUCUCAAUAUGGUAUCAAGCCCUAAUCAAUGAAUAAACUUCAUCUUCUCAUUCGAUCCUCAUCUUGCAAUUGAAGUUUUCUUUAAUUUUUUUCAAAGUUUCUCUCUUCUUCAUCAUUUUUUCUUGAUGAUUUCUAUUAUUUGUUGUUUCUGCACCCAUAUUGUUGGUGUUCACUCAGUUUUUCUUUCAUCAUCUGACUCAAAGUUUCGCAUCUGAUUUUGUUGAUUUUCAUCAUCUUCCUCAUCGAUCCAACAUGCCUCCGCGUAUAGCACCAAAUUCCAAGCUUGAUCUUGAUUCGAUUUACUAUAUCCAUCUGACUGAAUGUCCCAAUUCAGUCACCAUUACUCCAAAGCUCGAUGGAUCUAACUACCUCACUUGGAACAGAUCCAUGCAACGUGCACUGGGAGCUAAGAACAAGUUGAAGUUCAUUGAUGGAUCCACUAAAACUCUAGAUGAAGAUCACCUCAGUUUUGAUCAGUGGCAACUAUGCAAUCAUCUCAUCCUUUCAUGGAUCAUCAAUUAGUUGAUCAAUGUACAUUGCAGUAAAUGAAUACAAUGAGGAUGAUUGGGUUUGAUAGCCAAGAGAAUGGAUUCUAUAUUUUGCAAGUAAUGGACACUCAUUCUAAAGAUUCCAGUCCCUUUCACCAAGCUCAUCACCAACUCAAGUCCUCACCAUAAACCAAAUCAUUUCAUUCCAGUAAUACUUUUUCUCCACCACAUGUCCAAAAUAUUGUAAUUCCCAAGUCAGCCUUGUGGCACUUUAGGCUAUGACUUGUAUCUUCUAAGAGAAUAGCUCAAAUGUCUAAAAUGUAAUCUUCAUUUGAUUUUGAUAAUAAUGCCACAUGUGAUAUUUGUCAUUUGGAAAAGCAAAGAAAUUUGUCUUAUCAUUCAA